CCGGCGAUGUCCGAAUGGGGAAACCCAGUGUGAUUCGUCACACUAUCGUUAACUGAAUACAUAGGUUAACGAGGCGAACCGGGGGAACUGAAACAUCUAAGUACCCCGAGGAAAAGAAAUCAACCGAGAUUCCCCCAGUAGCGGCGAGCGAACGGGGAGCAGCCCAGAGUCUGAAUCAGCUUGUGUGUUAGUGGAACGGUCUGGAAAGUCCGACGGUACAGGGUGAUAGUCCCGUACACCAAAAUGCACAGGCUGUGAACUCGAAGAGUAGGGCGGGACACGUGGUAUCCUGUCUGAAUAUGGGGGGACCAUCCUCCAAGGCUAAAUACUCCUGACUGACCGAUAGUGAACCAGUACCGUGAGGGAAAGGCGAAAAGAACCCCGGCGAGGGGAGUGAAAAAGAACCUGAAACCGUGUACGUACAAGCAGUGGGAGCACCUUCGGGUGUGACUGCGUACCUUUUGUAUAAUGGGUCAGCGACUUAUAUUCUGUAGCAAGGUUAACCGUAUAGGGGAGCCGCAGGGAAACCGAGUCUUAACUGGGCGUUAAGUUGCAGGGUAUAGACCCGAAACCCGGUGAUCUAGCCAUGGGCAGGUUGAAGGUUGGGUAACACUAACUGGAGGACCGAACCGACUAAUGUUGAAAAAUUAGCGGAUGACUUGUGGCUGGGGGUGAAAGGCCAAUCAAACCGGGAGAUAGCUGGUUCUCCCCGAAAGCUAUUUAGGUAGCGCCUCGUGAACUCAUCUUCGGGGGUAGAGCACUGUUUCGGCUAGGGGGUCAUCCCGACUUACCAACCCGAUGCAAACUACGAAUACCGAAGAAUGUUAUCACGGGAGACACACGGCGGGUGCUAACGUCCGUCGUGAAGAGGGAAACAACCCAGACCGCCAGCUAAGGUCCCAAAGUCAUGGUUAAGUGGGAAACGAUGUGGGAAGGCACAGACAGCCAGGAUGUUGGCUUAGAAGCAGCCAUCAUUUAAAGAAAGCGUAAUAGCUCACUGGUCGAGUCGGCCUGCGCGGAAGAUGUAACGGGGCUAAACCAUGCACCGAAGCUGCGGCAGCGACACUAUGUGUUGUUGGGUAGGGGAGCGUUCUGUAAGCCUGCGAAGGUGACCUGUGAGGGUUGCUGGAGGUAUCAGAAGUGCGAAUGCUGACAUAAGUAACGAUAAAGCGGGUGAAAAGCCCGCUCGCCGGAAGACCAAGGGUUCCUGUCCAACGUUAAUCGGGGCAGGGUGAGUCGACCCCUAAGGCGAGGCCGAAAGGCGUAGUCGAUGGGAAACAGGUUAAUAUUCCUGUACUUGGUGUUACUGCGAAGGGGGGACGGAGAAGGCUAUGUUAGCCGGGCGACGGUUGUCCCGGUUUAAGCAUGUAGGCUGGUUAUCCAGGCAAAUCCGGAUAAUCAAGGCUGAGGUGUGAUGACGAGGCACUACGGUGCUGAAGUAACAAAUGCCCUGCUUCCAGGAAAAGCCUCUAAGCAUCAGGUAACAUCAAAUCGUACCCCAAACCGACACAGGUGGUCAGGUAGAGAAUACCAAGGCGCUUGAGAGAACUCGGGUGAAGGAACUAGGCAAAAUGGUGCCGUAACUUCGGGAGAAGGCACGCUGGUGUGUAGGUGAAGUCCCUGCGGAUGGAGCUGAGACCAGUCGAAGAUACCAGCUGGCUGCAACUGUUUAUUAAAAACACAGCACUGUGCAAACACGAAAGUGGACGUAUACGGUGUGACGCCUGCCCGGUGCCGGAAGGUUAAUUGAUGGGGUUAUCCGUAAGGAGAAGCUCUUGAUCGAAGCCCCGGUAAACGGCGGCCGUAACUAUAACGGUCCUAAGGUAGCGAAAUUCCUUGUCGGGUAAGUUCCGACCUGCACGAAUGGCGUAAUGAUGGCCAGGCUGUCUCCACCCGAGACUCAGUGAAAUUGAACUCGCUGUGAAGAUGCAGUGUACCCGCGGCAAGACGGAAAGACCCCGUGAACCUUUACUAUAGCUUGACACUGAACAUUGAGCCUUGAUGUGUAGGAUAGGUGGGAGGCUUUGAAGCGUGGACGCCAGUCUGCGUGGAGCCAACCUUGAAAUACCACCCUUUAAUGUUUGAUGUUCUAACGUUGGCCCCUAAUCGGGGUUGCGGACAGUGUCUGGUGGGUAGUUUGACUGGGGCGGUCUCCUCCCAAAGCGUAACGGAGGAGCACGAAGGUUAGCUAAUCCUGGUCGGACAUCAGGAGGUUAGUGCAAUGGCAUAAGCUAGCUUGACUGCGAGCGUGACGGCGCGAGCAGGUGCGAAAGCAGGUCAUAGUGAUCCGGUGGUUCUGAAUGGAAGGGCCAUCGCUCAACGGAUAAAAGGUACUCCGGGGAUAACAGGCUGAUACCGCCCAAGAGUUCAUAUCGACGGCGGUGUUUGGCACCUCGAUGUCGGCUCAUCACAUCCUGGGGCUGAAGUAGGUCCCAAGGGUAUGGCUGUUCGCCAUUUAAAGUGGUACGCGAGCUGGGUUUAGAACGUCGUGAGACAGUUCGGUCCCUAUCUGCCGUGGGCGCUGGAGAAUUGAGGGGGGCUGCUCCUAGUACGAGAGGACCGGAGUGGACGCAUCACUGGUGUUCGGGUUGUCAUGCCAAUGGCACUGCCCGGUAGCUAAAUGCGGAAGAGAUAAGUGCUGAAAGCAUCUAAGCACGAAACUUGCCCCGAGAUGAGUUCUCCCUGAGACUUUAAGUCUCCUGAAGGAACGUU
rnacentral:rRNA from 1 species